rnacentral:sRNA from 17 species
AAUUGAAAAAUCAAUAGAUUUAAACCUAGUGAAGAGCAUUUGAACAAUGUGCUAGGGUAGUAUGGGAUAAGUCGAUAACUAAAAUGAAUUGGGAUACUGAUUGAUUUUAGUGGUGGAUUUUACAGCAAUGUAAAAAGGACUAAUAGUAAAAGCUAUUAAUCGCAAAGUACUACGUGGAAUUUGUGCAGGUGUAAGGUACGAAACUUUCGAGUGUGACAAUAGACGCUCCAGUGGAGAAUAAUCUAAGUUAGGUGGAAGUGUGAGAAGCUUGGCAGACCUUAGAAAACUCAAACCAAGCGCUUUGCAGAGAAACUGAGAAAUCAGUGUUUAACGAAAGAAGUCGGUACGAGUAGCUUAAUGCAGCAAUUUAUUUACAGAUGACAAAUAAUAAAAAUGGGACUCUUAUGUAAAUGCUGAAUGUUCAAGUGAAAGUUAUUAGCCAGUAGAGCUAGAUCAUACAGAAAAAGCAAAGAGAAGCUAUUGGGUAGCGCCCGAUAGUUCAGCCUCUUUGGGUAUGUGACUGAAUAACACUGUAAACAAAGGAAGCAGGAAGAAAAGCCUAAAUCUGUUGAUUUUUGAG